CAUCCCAAAAAGAGAUGUAUGAUGAAACGACCAGCAUAUGUGUGUAUUCUCUCAGCAAAGGGUGAAGGAUAAUAUCCUGUUGAGAAAAAUGGUUAAGAUUACUUUUUUUUUUUUUUGGGAUUAUAUUUGCUCUAUUGCUCUGUGUGUUCUCCUACUCUGGAUGUAACCGAGGUGGCGGAUGUAUUUUGAGCAAAUAUCACUGACCUUUUUUUGCCCUUGGCGACCUUUCGAACCACAAUCUCAUUUCUAACAGCGAUAACCACCUGAGACCCUAUACAGACGGAAAGGGUAUAUUAACGGCAUGGAAGGCAAUUGUAAUGUGGCAAAUGUCACUGUUUGAGGGGCGAAUCUCCAAGGCGAGCGUCUGCUCACCUCCCACGCAGGUGUUGGACCUUUGGAUGUUUCUCUUUUGACUCAACCUCAACCCACCAGCCUGCUUCUUCUUCUUUGGACACACACACAUUUGUUGACAAUGCUACGCAUGGCCACACACCUCACCACGAUCGAGUCUCUUUCAGGAGCUCGGUGACUUCCAAAGAUGCCAAAUGUCCCAAAAGUCCAUUUGUGAAAA